UAGUUUUUGGUGUAAGUGCACAGUAAAUUUUGAUUUUAUAGGAAAUAAUAAUAAAUUAUUAGAACUAA
rnacentral:tRNA from 1 species